UUGGGACUGCCUCCCUCCCCUGUGAAACCAGAGUAGCCUCAUCACCAGGUUGCAGCCCUUCAAAACCCAUCCUCUCUGCUCCCAGGACAAACCCUACGUCAGCACUGCAGCAACGGCCAGAGCCCCAGGAACGGAGCAGUCCUGGCCCCACAGGGGUGGAAUUCGCUCCCAAAGCCCUGACUAACUGUAAAAGCUGCCAUCAGGAGCAAUGUUGAUAUAUUUGGAAAGCCUGAAACUCUGAGCUGUAUCACAUGGAGGACAGCCAUUCCAGCAGGUUUCCCAGACCCACAGUGGAUUUAACAGAACUCCAAGGGCCAAGGAGGGUACUGAUUUUUUACAUCAAUAACCAAGAAAAUAAAGUCAGAGGCUUGU
rnacentral:lncRNA from 1 species